UACGUAGGGCCAAGCGUUGUUCGGAGUUACUGGGCGUAAAGGGUGUGUAGGCGGUUGUUUAAGUUUGGUGUGAAAUCUCCCGGCUCAACUGGGAGGUGCGCCGAAUACUGAAUGACUUGGAGUGCGGGAGAGGAAAGGUGGAAUUCCUGGUGUAGCGGUGGAAAUGACGUAGAUAUCAGGAGGAACACCGGUGGUGUAGACGGCUUCUGGACCGUAACUGACGCUGAGACACGAAAGCGUGGGUAGCAAACAGG
rnacentral:rRNA from 1 species